UGUGCUCCCACAACUAUCCAUGCUAUUCAUCUACUUUUCUUACCAUGACUGGUUGUAAUCUACCAAAAUUCCUCCAAUCAAUGGUUCAGAUCAUCCAAUUAGGGUAAAAUGCCCCAUUCAAUGAAGUUCCUCCAAUCUCUUAUUGCCUUGAAGCUCCACUGCAACAUCUAGUUGUAUAAUCUCUUAUUGCCUUGAAGCUUCCCAUUUCUUUGUUUCUGCAUCAGACUAUUAGUUAGCUUCUAUAUUUUGAGUUCUUGUUCACCUUGCAGGUUCGCAAGUUUAGUAAACACUACAGAAGCUAUGAGAAAUGUGUGGAUGGAUUUGAUCAUCAUUGCCAGGUUAUCCUACAACAUUGGCAUGAACUCAUCGAACGUGACCUUUCCAUCACUAUUGGCAUCCAUCCGGUUGAAAAUCUCAUCAAGCUUCCCAGGCUUUGUUAUGUCUGCUGGAAGGCAGUCUUCUGGCAAGGCCUAUAUGGAUUUCAGUUAGCAGAUGUUUUCUACCAUGUCCAACUAAAACUACAGAGAAGUACUAAGGUGAUUCAUGUGUAGGCAGACUGGAAAGGUGGAGAUUUAAGUCACACAUGUACAAGAUCCAGGUUGUUCAUUAGGUGGGGAAUGCCAUGAACACACCUUGUCCCAAAAUUCUUGCUAGUCUGCAUAUCAAGUGAGACACACAAAUGUUAAACAUAGAUCAACAUGUAUAGCUCCCCUAGUAAGUGGAUCAUUGUGAUUUUUGGGUUAGGGCAUCUUCAAGGUGGCCCCCAUCAGAUCAAUGGACAUAUCUUGCACCUUUGUACUGCCUUAGCAUUUCUUGAAACUCUGCAUGCUUCAAAGGAUGGGUGAGAGAUAUUUACUCUUUGACACUACUUCUUCCUUCGUUAUGCAUCCUGACCUGUCUGUAUCAUACAUCUGAUGAGAACAUAAAAUGUUGUUCUUUUGUAUAUUCUCUUUGAGGGAACUGUCUCUCUGUAGAGCAAAUUCUCCUUUUGUAACUGUUAGUACUACUACUGAAUUGGUUGUAGUUAUUUGUUCUAUUCUUUGCAUGAAGUCGCUUAACAAUUGCGUCGGUCAUAAGAACUACACAACUUUUAUUCUACUUAUUGCCACAAGUCUCAUUUGGGUAUGUGGAAAAUCCACGUCAUUGCUCAAUUGAGAUGUUCUGAUUUCUUUUAGUAUUCUCUUCAAUUAUUUUAACUUUGAAGCUUACUAGAUUUUUGGCUUUUGCGGUUUCAUCUCUUAGACGGUCCGAUUCGGAUUGGAUUGAGAUCCUUUGGUGCGUUGCCAUUUGAUUCGUAUCGUUUCUAUUAGUGUUGUCCUUCAGUUUUUCUUGUAAAAAUCACCCAAUUUGUAAGAACGGGUACUAUCUAUCAUCAAUUUGGCUAAAUUUUCAAUUCAAGCUAAAAUUAGCUGCCUUUGAUGAACCUGUGAUCACUUCCUUGUCAAAGGUUUCUCAACCCUUGGAGUGGAGAACUACAACAGGCACUUACAUUCUUUUAACUUCUUGGUCCAUCUAUAAAAUGAGAUUCAUAGUUGAUUAAUCCAUUGUAUGGAAAUUGAUUAGGUUGUGUGGCCUUGGAUUCAAGUACUUUAGACUUUGUUGCAUUUGCUUUUGUAACCAUUGGUAGUACCUGAACUAAUACCCAUAGCAAACUAAAUGGACAUGAAUUAAAAAUAUGAAAUGAUACUGAAUUCACUUUAGUUGCACCACCACUAUCAAAUAUCAACAUCAUUCAAGACAUUUGCAGAUCCCACUUUUUUUUACCCUUUUGUAUUUGCAGAUUCUCAUAAGUUAAAACAAGGGAAUACAUGAUCCCACUUUUUUUUUUUUUUUUCCUUCUAUAUUUUCAUAUUCUCACACAAGAAUAUUGUGUUUGCAAGAAUGAUAUUCUUGAUGUGCAACUAUUGCAAGAAACAUGGUAUUUGUUCCAAAUUAGACCAAUUAAUCAUGAAAUUUUAGAUAUUUAGUGCAACCAAAUGCACCCUAAAGAUAGUGCUAUGAAGCUCUUUUAUGUAUACGCCAACAAGCCAAGUACCAAUUCUAGUUUGUAGAAAUUGUUCAUGUUUCUAUUCUUUUCUUUGUGUUGUUGGUAUAUGUAUAUGUCUUUGACAUAUUCCUGUUAUUUUCCUGAAGAGCUGGAUUUUUAUAGUACAAGCCACAGGGAAUAAGGUCCCAAAGAGCUGGAAUUUUUGCCAUUCCUUUUUAAAAAUUGCUCGUGUUGAAUGAUCCUAACCAUCUAAUUAUCUCUGGCAAAAAUGAUAGUUUCAUGGUACUUUCUUCCCAAAUUUCAGGACAGGCAUCAUGUGCACAAACGAGAUGGGUAAAACUCCACUCCAGUGACUCGUAACAGCAUAAUCUAUUAUUUCAGGGCAAUGUUGCCAUGGAUGAUGCAUAGGUGCAGUAUAUGGAUCGUGUAUGCCUUCGGAAAUGGUGAAGGGUGGGAAGCUAAUCUUCUCAUUUGAUGCAACAAAGAAAGCUCGCUUUGGCAUGGUUGGUUUGAUAUUAUCCUUCAAGGUUAGGUUGCAAGACUGCCAAUUCCUUUUAGACUUCCAAGUAAUCAAGACACAAGAAUAGAACACAGUUUUGUUGGGGUUUUUGAUAGUGAAUAUUUCUUGCUCAUUUUGCUUAUGGAAUACUAAACUCAUCUUGUCUAUCUUAUGAACAAACCUCAUCAAAAUUUUAAUCCACGCUUCAAUCAUUUAUCUGGUGCACAACAACAAUGUAGAUCCAUGCAGGAUACUGGAUAAGUUGAUGAAUCCCAUGGCAUUCGACAUCAGCCAAUGCUUGGGAGGAGGAGGAUGAAAUUAUUUUGGUCACUUGUCGAAUUGAGAAUCCUGAACUGGACAUGGUUAGCAGACCUGUGAAAGAGAAGCUUAAAACCUUCAUAAAUGAGUUAUAUGAAAUGUGAUUCAACAUGAAAACUGGUGUUGCUUCACAAAAGCAGCUAUCAGCAUCUGCUAUAGAUUUUCCUCGGAUUAAUGAGAGUUACACUAGCAGAGAACACCGAUGAAUGAAGAAGUCUGAACUGUGCAGUCAGUCCAAACCUUCAAGCCAAUAUUAAAUGAAAAUGGUGAUUUCAUAUCUAGGACAAAAUCUGAUUUGCAUUUGUAAUUUGUCAACAAUCUCACAAUUUCUCAUUUUAUUGGAACCCAAACCAAGUGGAAGUUCCUAACCAUCCACUCUUUGGCAUUUUUUACAGACUAUUGCUGUAUUUUUUUUCCUUAACCAUUUACUUCAGGGACAUUGAUCGAAAGAUCAAGAACCUCUCUAUCAGAGGGCAUCUUCCAUCCA